CGAACGGGUGAGUAAUACAUCGGAACGUGUCCAGUAGCGGGGGAUAACCUCUCGAAAGAGAGGCUAAUACCGCAUACGACCUACGGGUGAAAGAGGGGGAUCGCAAGACCUCUCACUAUUGGAGCGGCCGAUGUCGGAUUAGCUAGUUGGCGGGGUAACGGCCCACCAAGGCUACGAUCCGUAGCUGGUCUGAGAGGACGACCAGCCACACUGGAACUGAGACACGGUCCAG
rnacentral:rRNA from 1 species